UCAGGGAACACUGGUUUCCCCAGUAACGGGC
rnacentral:piRNA from 1 species